ensembl:snRNA U6 U6 spliceosomal RNA
GAGCCUUCCCAAGAGCACAUAUACUAAAACUGGAAAGAUACAGAGAAGAUUAGCAUAGCCCCUGCACAAGGAUAACACGUAAAGUCGUGAACUAUUUAAUGGAAAA